GGACCCAUAGCUCAGCGGUAGAGCAUCUGAUUCCAGCUUGAAGCUUAAAUAAACAUCAACUGCCUCCAGAAGGUCAUCCGUUCAAAUCGGGUUGGGUUCA
rnacentral:tRNA from 1 species